rnacentral:rRNA from 1 species
UACAGAGACUGCAAGCGUUAUUCGGAUUCACUGGGCGUAAAGCGUGCGCAGGCGGUUCGUUAAGUCAGCUGUGAAAGCCCCGAGCUUAACUUGGGAAUUGCGGUUGAAACUGGCGGACUAGAAUCUGGCAGAGGGGGGUGGAAUUCCACGUGUAGCAGUGAAAUGCGUAGAGAUGUGGAGGAACACCGAUGGCGAAGGCAGCCCCCUGGGCUGAGAUUGACGCUCAGGCACGAAAGCGUGGGGAGCAAACAGG